rnacentral:pre_miRNA from 1 species
AAUAAAUGUAGCCGUGGAAAUCCGUGUCCAACGUUUGACCGUUCGUCUUAUUUAAAAAUUUUAUGAAUUUUUUUAAAAAAAUUAGUCACACAUAAAGUACUAUUCAUACUUUAUCAUCUAAUAACAAUAAAAUUAGUAAUAAAAAAAUUAAAUAAGACGAACGGUCAAACGUUGAAGAUGAAUAGUGUAAAACUGUACUUAUU